rnacentral:rRNA from 1 species
GCUCAGGACGAACGCUGGCGGCGUGCUUAACACAUGCAAGUCGAACGAUGAACCGCUUUCGGGCGGGGAUUAGUGGCGAACGGGUGAGUAACACGUGGGCAAUCUGCCCUGCACUCUGGGACAAGCCCUGGAAACGGGGUCUAAUACCGGAUAUGACUGUCUGCCGCAUGGUGGAUGGUGUAAAGCUCCGGCGGUGCAGGAUGAGCCCGCGGCCUAUCAGCUUGUUGGUGAGGUAGUGGCUCACCAAGGCGACGACGGGUAGCCGGCCUGAGAGGGCGACCGGCCACACUGGGACUGAGACACGGCCCAGACUCCUACGGGAGGCAGCAGUGGGGAAUAUUGCACAAUGGGCGAAAGCCUGAUGCAGCGACGCCGCGUGAGGGAUGACGGCCUUCGGGUUGUAAACCUCUUUCAGCAGGGAAGAAGCGAAAGUGACGGUACCUGCAGAAGAAGCGCCGGCUAACUACGUGCCAGCAGCCGCGGUAAUACGUAGGGCGCAAGCGUUGUCCGGAAUUAUUGGGCGUAAAGAGCUCGUAGGCGGCUUGUCACGUCGGUUGUGAAAGCCCGGGGCUUAACCCCGGGUCUGCAGUCGAUACGGGCAGGCUAGAGUUCGGUAGGGGAGAUCGGAAUUCCUGGUGUAGCGGUGAAAUGCGCAGAUAUCAGGAGGAACACCGGUGGCGAAGGCGGAUCUCUGGGCCGAUACUGACGCUGAGGAGCGAAAGCGUGGGGAGCGAACAGGAUUAGAUACCCUGGUAGUCCACGCCGUAAACGGUGGGCACUA